GAUAAGAUGGCUGAAGUAAAUAGGUUAUAAAUUGUAAAUUUAUAUAUGGUAAUAAUACCUCUUAUCA
rnacentral:tRNA from 1 species